rnacentral:rRNA from 1 species
GACAGAGGCCUCGAGCGUUAGGCGGAAUCAUUGGGCGUAAAGCGCGUGUAGGCGGUCCGGUAAGUCCGCUGUGAAAGUCGAGGGCUCAACCCUCGAAUGCCGGUGGAUACUGUCGGGCUAGAGUACGGAAGAGGCGAGUGGAAUCCUGGUGUAGCGGUGAAAUGCGCAGAUAUCAGGAGGAACACCAAUUGCGAAGGCAGCUCGCUGGGACGUUACUGACGCUGGAGACGGCGAAAGCGUGGGGAGCAAACAGG